rnacentral:rRNA from 1 species
CAUAAUAACUCAACGAAUCGCAUGGCCUUGCGCCGGCSAUGGUUCAUUCAAAUUUCUGCCCUAUCAACUUUCGAUGGUAGGAUAGUGGCCUACCAUGGUUUUAACGGGUAACGGGGAAUUAGGGUUCUAUUCCGGAGAGGGAGCCUGAGAAACGGCUACCACAUCCAAGGAAGGCAGCAGGCGCGCAAAUUACCCAAUCCCAACACGGGGAGGUAGUGACAAUAAAUACUGAUGUGGANNUCUUUAGGGUUUCACAAUUGGAAUGAGUACAAUUUAAAUCCCUUAACGAGGAACAAUUGGAGGGCAAGUCUGGUGCCAGCAGCCGCGGUAAUUCCAGCUCCAAUAGCGUAUAUUAAAGUUGUUGCAGUUAAAAAGCUCGUAGUUGAACCUUGGGCCUGGCUGACCGGUCCGCCUCACCGCGAGCACUGGUUCGGCCGGNCCUUUCCUUCUGGGGAGCCGCAUGCCCUUCACUGGGUGUGUCGGGGAACCAGGACUUUUACUUUGAAAAAAUUAGAGUGUUCAAAGCAGGCCUAUGCUCGAAUACAUUAKCAUGGAAUAAUAGAAUAGGACGUGUGGUUCUAUUUUGUUGGUUUCUAGGACCGCCGUAAUGAUUAAUAGGG